UACGUAGGUGACAAGCGUUGUCCGGAUUUACUGGGCGUAAAGAGCGCGCAGGCGGUCGUUCAAGUCGAGUGUGAAAGCCCCCGGCUCAACUGGGGAGGGUCACUCGAUACUGAUCGACUCGAAGGCAGGAGAGGGUAGUGGAAUUCCCGGUGUAGUGGUGAAAUGCGUAGACAUCGGGAGGAACACCAGUGGCGAAGGCGACUACCUGGCCUGUUCUUGACGCUGAGGCGCGAAAGCUAGGGGAGCAAACGGG
rnacentral:rRNA from 1 species